GAUGAACGCUGGCGGCGUGCCUAAUACAUGCAAGUCGAGCGAACAGAUAAGGAGCUUGCUCCUUUGACGUAAGCGGCGAACGGGUGAGUAACACUUGGUUACCCUACCUUUAGACCGGGAAUACCUUCGGAAAACCGGAGCUAAACCCGGAUAAAUUUUCAACCCGCAGGUUUCAAUAGUAAAGGAUGUUUUGCCUAUAACUUAUAAUAGACCCCGCGCCGAAUUAGCUAGUUGUAAAGGUAACGGCUUACCAAGGCGACGAUACGUAGCCGACCUGAGAGGGUGAUCGGCCACACUGGAACUGAGACACGGUCCAGACUCCUACGGGAGGCAGCAGUAGGGAAUCUUCCGCAAUGGGCGAAAGCCUGACGGAGCAACGCCGCGUGAGUGAUGAAGUUCUUCGGAUCGUAAAACUCUGUUAUUAGGGAAGAACAUACGUGUAAGUAACUGUGCACGUCUUGACGGUACCUAAUCAGAAAGCCACGGCUAACUACGUG
rnacentral:rRNA from 1 species